CCUGCCCUGAUGCUGGUGGCUGGUGGAAGGAGGGCGGGCCCAACUGCGGUUUGUGAAUGUGGCCCUAAUUCCCCCUCCCCGUCCCAGUCCCAGCACAUCUGUACUUGGUUUACAGUGAAUGAGUCUCCUGUCCUCAUGACCGGGCGAGGGCACCACUCCCUCCCUGGCCCUUGGCCGGGCAUCCUGACACAGAACCAGGCACCACCCCCGUGACACUCUUCCUGCUGGUUUCUGGACAUGCUCCCGCUGGGUCCAGAACCUCUUCUUCUGCAACUUCUGGAAUGGAAAGCGUGCUUCUCAGAGCCUCCCACGUGGCUGCUGAAGGUACCCACACACCAUGCCUGUGUCAUGCCUGUCUCAUUGCUGCACGAGGUCCAGAACCGUGAGUCCUCCAAUGUCUGUCUGUCCCACACAUGCCCCCAAGCACUGGUGUUUGCAAGGGCUGGACACAGCUACCAGAAUAGCCCUUCCUUUCCCCACCCAUGAUCCAGGCAAUCCAUCCCUACUCAGUUCUAAGCUCAAAAUUUUUUAAAAUGAUGCUUCUUCCAACUUCUUAUUCUGAAAAUUAGCAAUUAAAAAGAAAAAGAACUGGGGCACGUGGCUGGCUCAGUCUGUGGAGUGUGCAUCUCUUGAUUUGGGGGUUGUAGUUUCAAGCCCCACAUUGGGUGUAGAGACUACUUUUUAAAAAUUUUUUGGAAAAAAAAGAAUUAAGCAUUUAUACUGCUUGUCCUGUAUAAAUAUAUUUCAGGGUAGCCAAAUAGCUCUAAGUGGUGGAGAAAACUUCUCAUUUACAGAAGAAUUCCAGCUAAUGUGGAAGGAAUAUGGAAUUCGAAAAACAAUUUUGCAACCCUUAAUGAAAUAAUUGAUCAGAACAAGAAUCAUGAAUGGAUGAAACCGAAGACGAUGGUUGAUGGGGAACUUUACAAUGGAGGAAUCAAGCUGUCACCACCUGACCCACUGAUGAAUCUUACCAUCACUAGAAGGGGCACAACCACCCGCUGUGCACCUCCUGAUGUGAUGUAAUCUGAAGCCCUUGACACCACCCACAAGACACUCUUGCCAAACAAGGGAACAAAUACACAAAAAACCUGAAUGUGAUUCAAAUCGAACCUCUAGAACUAAACUCCAUUUAACAGGAUACAUCAGGGAUGGAGGAACAGUUCAAAUGACACAGGAGGAAGUGAGAAGACACAUCCAGAAUGUGGAAUCUUUUCGAGGAAAUCUGACCCAAUUUCUUCAACUAGUGAAUGGCUGGGCGGGGAAAUAAUAAUAAUAAUAAUAAUAAUAAUAAUAAUAAUAAUAAUAAUAAUAGGACAACAAUUAUAUGGAGCACAUGGACCUUGUUUGGUUCCUGAUUUGGACAACCCAAUUGUAAAAAGAUAGUUUUAGAUAAUUGGAGCCUUUUAAUCAUGGAUUGGAUAUUUACAAUGCCAAGGGAUCAGUAUUGAUUUUGUUAGAUGUAAAAUGGCCUUGGAGAGAUGUGAGAAAAGGGCCUUAUUUCCUAGAGAUGCACGUUGAAGUAUGGAGUGAAGUGACAUACUUACUUUUAAAUAUUUUGGCAAAUAAAAAAGGACAGAAAAAACA
ensembl:lncRNA